GGUGAGAAAUAGAUUUACAAGGGAUUUUAAAAGGGUUUUAAAAUAUUUUAAAAAGGUUUUAAAAUAUUUUAAAAGAUUUACAAGAGAUUUUAAAAGGGUUUAGAAGAUUUACAAAAGAUUUCAGA
rnacentral:sRNA from 1 species